rnacentral:rRNA from 1 species
UACGGGGGGAGCAAGCGUUGUUCGGAUUUACUGGGCGUAAAGGGCGCGUAGGCGGCUGUGACAAGUCACUUGUGAAAUCUCCGGGCUUAACCCGGAGCGGUCAAGUGAUACUGUCGUGCUAGAGUGCGGAAGGGGCAACUGGAAUUCUCGGUGUAGCGGUGAAAUGCGUAGAUAUCGAGAGGAACACCUGCGGCGAAGGCGGGUUGCUGGGCCGACACUGACGCUGGAGGCGCGAAAGCCCAGGGGAGCGAACGGG